rnacentral:rRNA from 1 species
GACAGAGGGGGCAAGCGUUGCUCGGAAUCACUGGGCGUAAAGGGCGCGUAGGCGGGAUGGCAAGUCGGUCGUGAAAUCCUUCGGCUCAACCGAAGAACGUCGGCCGAUACUGCCGUUCUUGAGGGAUGCAGAGGAGAUUGGAAUUCCCGGUGUAGCGGUGAAAUGCGCAGAUAUCGGGAGGAACACCCGUAGCGAAGGCGGUACUCUGGGCCGAAACUGACGCUGAGGAGCGAAAGCGUGGGGAGCGAACAGG